ACUCCUACGGGAGGCAGCAGUGGGGAAUUUUGGACAAUGGGCGCAAGCCUGAUCCAGCCAUUCCGCGUGAGUGAAGAAGGCCUUCGGGUUGUAAAGCUCUUUCGCAAGGGAAGAAAACUUACAUUCUAAUAAAGUGUGAGGCUGACGGUACCUUGAUAAGAAGCACCGGCUAACUACGUGCCAGCAGCCGCGGUAAUACGUAGGGUGCGAGCGUUAAUCGGAAUUACUGGGCGUAAAGCGUGCGCAGGCGGUUUUGUAAGUCAGAUGUGAAAUCCCCGGGCUCAACCUGGGAACUGCGUUUGAAACUACAAGGCUAGAGUAUGGCAGAGGGGGGUAGAAUUCCACGUGUAGCAGUGAAAUGCGUAGAGAUGUGGAGGAAUACCAAUGGCGAAGGCAGCCCCCUGGGUCAAUACUGACGCUCAUGCACGAAAGCGUGGGGAGCAAACAGGAUUAGAUACCCUGGUAGUCCACGCCCUAAACGAUGUCUACUAGUUGUUGGGAGAGUAAAAUCUCUUAGUAACGCAGCUAACGCGUGAAGUAGACCGCCUGGGGAGUACGGUCGCAAGAUUAAAACUUAAAGGAAUUGACG
rnacentral:rRNA from 1 species